rnacentral:ncRNA from 1 species
UUAAAAACUAUGAAGAGGAAGAGUAAAUGAUUUACUGCUUUAAGAGAGGGAAAUUCACCGGCUGAAAGAUUUCCUAGGCAAGUAUUGUUGAAAACCACCUCUGAGUUGAUUACUGAACUUAAGUAGGUAAUUCCGUAUACCAGCGUUAAUGGUUUUGAGAGACAAAAGUAAGUUUUAAUUAUGCUUUUGUAAUUUGGGUGGAAUCGCGAUUAAACUCGUCCCUUAU